rnacentral:snRNA from 1 species
GGGUAAGCUGGCUGCGAUGUGACCCCUUGAUGGCCAGGGUCGAUGUGGCUGAUCUGGCUGGUUUGGUGGGUAUCUCCUUCCUUAAUGCUCCACGUGUCUCCUGAGAGUGUUCUGGGCUGAAGAAGACAACUUGCCGUCAGGAAGGAGACCUGUUCUCUGAACAAGGGUAUAUGGAUAACUCUUUCCCCUUCUAGAAUCGCCAAACAAGCCCUCAGAUGGUUCAGGUUCGAGUGGUCAAUAUGUUCAGGAUGUCAACAAAUGACUGGUUUCACAUUAACUGCUUCCUGGAACCCUG